AACGAACGCUGGCGGCAGGCUUAACACAUGCAAGUCGAACGCCCUAGCAAUAGGGAGUGGCGCACGGGUGAGUAACGCGUGGGAAUAUACCGUUUAGUGGGGAAUAACUCCGGGGAAACUGGAGCUAAUACCGCAUACGCCCUUCGGGGAAGAUUAUCGCUAAACGAUUAGCCCGCGUGAGAUUAGGUAGUUGGUGGGGUAAGUGGCCUACCAAGCCGACGAUCUCUAGCUGGUCUGAGAGGAUGAUCAGCCACACUGGAACUGAGACACGGUCCAGACUCCUACGGGAGGGCAGCAGUGGGGGAAUAUUGGACAAUGGGGGAAACCCGUGAUCCAGCCAUGCCGCGUGAGUGAUGAAGGCUUUAGGGUUGUAAAGCCCUUUGUCCGGAAAGAAAAGACACUGGAUUAAUACUUCGGUGUUCUGACGUACCGGAAGAAUAAGCACCGGCUAACUUCGUGGCCAGCAGCCG
rnacentral:rRNA from 1 species